CCUACGGGAGGCAGCAGUAGGGAAUCUUCCACAAUGGGCGCAAGCCUGAUGGAGCAACACCGCGUGAGUGAAGAAGGGUUUCGGCUCGUAAAGCUCUGUUGUUGGAGAAGAACGUGCGUGAGAGUAACUGUUCACGCAGUGACGGUAUCCAACCAGAAAGUCACGGCUAACUACGUGCCAGCAGCCGCGGUAAUACGUAGGUGGCAAGCGUUAUCCGGAUUUAUUGGGCGGAAAGCGAGCGCAGGCGGUUGCUUAGGUCUGAUGUGAAAGCCUUCGGCUUAACCCAAGAAGUGCAUCGGAAACCGGGCAACUUGAGUGCAGAAGAGGACAGUGGAACUCCAUGUGUAGCGGUGGAAUGCGUAGAUAUAUGGAAGAACACCAGUGGCGAAGGCGGCUGUCUGGUCUGCAACUGACGCUGAGGCUCGAAAGCAUGGGUAGCGAACAGGAUUAGAUACCCGGGUAGUC
rnacentral:rRNA from 1 species